AGGAACGUGAUUGUGAUCGCAGCAACAUCUGGAGGAUCAUUCAUCAUCAUUAUAAUCAUCAUCAUCAUCAUCAUACUAUUUAUAAUGAAAUGGAUAAAAAGAAGAUCUACUACACAAGAGUAUGAGACCAAUGAUCCCAGUGCAAGCUCAUAUGCAGCUCUUGACCUCAAGUCCAGAUCUGAUGACCUUUACAACACACUCACAACUGUCCCUCCCACACCUGCUGUUCAGCAUUCAGGAUCUUCUGAAUAUGAGAAUCUGUCACCAUAUCGCAAGACGCCACAGUAAGAUAAAGCACAAAUUAAAGAUGCGGC